CAUCCUACGGGAGGCAGCAGUAGGGAAUUUUGCGCAAUGGGGGAAACCCUGACGCAGCAACACCGCGUGAAUGUUAAGCCCUUCGGGGUGUAAAGUUCUGUCAAUAGGGACGAAUUUUGACUGUACCUAUAAAGGAAGCACCGGCUAACUCCGUGCCAGCAGCCGCGGUAAUACGGAGGAUGCGAGCGUUAUCCGGAUUUAUUGGGUUUAAAGGGUGCGCAGGCGGCGAGUUAAGUCAGCGGUAAAAUUUCGGGGCUCAACCCCGACGAGCCGUUGAAACUGGCUUGCUAGAGUGGGCGAGAAGG
rnacentral:rRNA from 1 species